GCAGUCGAACGCUUCUUUUCCCACCGGAGCUUGCUCCACCGGGAAAAGAGGAGUGGCGAACGGGUGAGUAACACGUGGGUAACCUGCCCAUCAGAAGGGGAUAACACUUGGAAACAGGUGCUAAUACCGUAUAACAAUCGAAACCGCAUGGUUUCGUUUUGAAAGGCGCUUUACGGUGCCGCUGAUGGAUGGACCCGCGGUGCAUUAGCUAGUUGGUGAGGUAACGGCUCACCAAGGCCACGAUGCAUAGCCGACCUGAGAGGGUGAUCGGCCACAUUGGGACUGAGACACGGCCCAAACUCCUACGGGAGGCAGCAGUAGGGAAUCUUCGGCAAUGGACGAAAGUCUGACCGAGCAACGCCGCGUGAGUGAAGAAGGUUUUCGGAUCGUAAAACUCUGUUGUUAGAGAAGAACAAGGGUGAGAGUAACUGUUCACCCCUUGACGGUAUCUAACCAGAAAGCCACGGCUAACUACGUGCCAGCAGCCGCGGUAAUACGUAGGUGGCAAGCGUUGUCCGGAUUUAUUGGGCGUAAAGCGAGCGCAGGCGGUUUCUUAAGUCUGAUGUGAAAGCCCCCGGCUCAACCGGGGAGGGUCAUUGGAAACUGGGAGACUUGAGUGCAGAAGAGGAGAGUGGAAUUCCAUGUGUAGCGGUGAAAUGC
rnacentral:rRNA from 1 species